rnacentral:misc_RNA from 1 species
GAUGAAGAACGCAGUGAAAUGCGUUAAGUAAUGUGAAUUGCAGAAUUCAGUGAAUCAUCGAAUCUUUGAACGCACAUUGCGCCCGUCAGUAUUCUGGCGGGCAUGCCUGUUCGAGCGUCAUUACGCCCCUCAAGUCCCCUGUGGACUUGGUGUUGGGGAUCGGCGAGGCUGGUUUUCCAGCACAGCCGUCCCUUAAAUUAAUUGGCGGUCUCGCCGUGGCCCUCCUCUGCGCAGUAGUAAAACACUCGCAACAGGAGCCCGGCGCGGUCCACUGCCGUAAAACCCCCCAACUUUUUAUAGUUGACCUCGAAUCAGGUAGGACUACCCGCUGAACUUAAGCAUAUCAAUAAGCGGAGGA